GAUGAACGCUGGCGGCGUGCUUAACACAUGCAAGUCGAACGAUGAAGCCCAGCUUGCUGGGUGGAUUAGUGGCGAACGGGUGAGUAACACGUGAGUAACCUGCCCUUAACUCUGGGAUAAGCCUGGGAAACUGGGUCUAAUACCGGAUAGGAGCGUCCACCGCAUGGUGGGUGUUGGAAAGAUUUAUCGGUUUUGGAUGGACUCGCGGCCUAUCAGCUUGUUGGUGAGGUAAUGGCUCACCAAGGCGACGACGGGUAGCCGGCCUGAGAGGGUGACCGGCCCCCUGGGGAUGAAGAACGGGCCAGGCCCCCUGGGGGGGAAAGGGGGGGGAAUUAUGGCAAAGGGGGCGAAGGCUGGAGGAGGCGCCGCGGGGGGGGGAAGGCCGCCCUUGGGUUUGAAAACCUUUUCCGGAGGGAAAGAAGCAAAGGGGAGGUUACCUGAAGAAGAAGAACCGGCAAACUAGGUG
rnacentral:rRNA from 1 species